UGGAAAAAAUACAUGCAACAGAAUAUUUUUAACAAACUAAGCAGGGACGAAGCUAGGAUUCAAUCUGGAGGGAGGCCAAAAUAUAUUUAAAUAGAAACUUUAGUAAUAAAUAAUAAACAAUUUUUUUUUCUAAUUAAAAUUUUUUAUUAAAAAAUUAUUAAUUAAAUAAAUAAUGUAAAAGUAUGAACUUUAUGUUUUUUAUUUUCAUAUGUUUAACUUCUAAUUAUUUUUUUUAUAUUAUUACAUUAAAAUAACUUAGAAAUUUUACUAAAUCUAACAGUAAUUUUUUAAUUUUUUAGUAAAUAAAAUUAACAUAGCUAUUAAAUUUAAUGCAAUUAUUGAUUUAGUCAAAUAAAAGAGCUCACCUAAGAUAAAUAAAAGUUUUAAAAAAUUAUUAAAUAAAAUUUUUAGAGUAGAGAAAUAUAUUACAAAAUACUCUAUAAGCAAGAAGCUUUUAAUAUAUUUUCACCCAUAAAAAGAGUAUACCGAUUAGGAAAAAGAGAGAGAGAGUUACAUUGGCACCAUAUUAUUAAGUAAAUAUUGAAUAAGUAGAAAGGCCAAAGCUAUCCAUGGUCCACAAAAAAAAAAAAAAAAAAAAAAAAAAAACUUUGAAGGACCAUUAAACAAAUAUUGAAAAGUUAAGGGGGCCAUGGCCACCUUGGGCCUCCAUGGCAAAAGGCUUGGUGGUUGGUUCUCGAGACCCAACUUCAAAUCAUAGUUGAUUUAUAUUUCCAGCUAAAUUUAUUUCUAAAUGAAAUAAACGAAGUGGAUAGCGUGCUAUCUAUCUCUCAAAAAAUAUAUAUAUAUUUGUAAUCAUUAAUUAUAUCUAAGUAUUUAUUUGUCAUUUUUU
rnacentral:lncRNA from 1 species